GAAAACUACAUGGUUAGAGCAAAUGACGCCCUAGCCAAACAUGAUAAACUUAGUCACACAGACCAACAGGAACUCUAUGAGGCUUAACUCAGUUCCUUAGCCACACAGGCUAAAACAAAGUCACACAGACUUAUACAAAGCCACCAAGGCUUCAAACAGGCCCAUAGUCACACAGACUUAUGGCCAGCCACUGAAGGCUCACAAUGGUCACAAAGACCAAAACAUUAAAAAAUAAAACACCACAUAGCUGACAUGUUCAGCCAAAUGGCAAAACACAAAAAAAUGACAGUGGCAACA